rnacentral:lncRNA from 1 species
UUUACUUUUCAUUAUUUAGAUUGCAAAUCCACAAAGUACUGCCAUCCUGUCUUUAUUGUCAGCCAACCCAUCUUCUUCUUCACUUUAAGCCUCCUUCAUUUUAGGCCUCUUUCCUUUCAAACACUAAAACAAAUUUUUUUUUUCUCUGUAAACACGUUUCCUUGCAUAUAUGUUACUCUUUUAUCUUUUUUGUCUUGUUAAGAUCCCUAUUAUAAACUGAUUAUUUCACUAAUUUAAUUACUUGUAACACAUAGGAAGCCAGAAAAAAAUUAUUUCCUAAAAUCAUACUUUGCUUAAAAUUGUUACAAAAUGUAAAAUCCAAUUAAUUUUUGUUGAGUAACAAUACAAAAUCCAGAACUCGUAUUUAUCUAAUGAAUGGAAACAUUAGCCGUUUCCCCUAUAAAUUGAGACAAACAGAAAUGAAGAAGGGCAGGGGAUUUUAGGCAGUGAAGCACCGUCGCCCUUCCAUAUGUGAAUAGGCAUGUAUUUUCUUCAUUUACAGCUGUUCAAACUUUAUAUUUGAUUAUUUAUUUGAGAGAUGAAAUCUUUUUGUGUAUAUGAAUGUUGUUUUGGUUGAUAUAAUGUGUAUCUGAAACAAAAUUUCUAUAGUGUUUGAAAAGUUUUGUUUUCUUUGAUU